rnacentral:rRNA from 1 species
CGGACGGGUGAGUAAUGUCUGGGAAACUGCCCGAUGGAGGGGGGUAACUACUGGAAACGGUAGCUAAUACCGCAUAACGUCGCAAGGCCAAAGAGGGGGACCUUCGGGCCUCUUGCCAUCGGAUGUGCCCAGAUGGGAUUAGCUAGUAGGUGGGGUAACGGCUCACCUAGGCGACGAUCCCUAGCUGGUCUGAGAGGAUGAUCAGCCACACUGGAACUGAGACACGGUCCAG